AGGAUGAAUUUUGGGGUCCCAGGAGGGAUUUUAAAGCCUUGGGUUGAAUUCUGGUCUCUUUCCCACCCCCCAAAAUCCCCGAUUCCCCCCCAAAUCCAGGCGUGGAUUUUGGCUACGAGGGCCAGGAGCUGCUGUUCCGCAACCUGGAUUUUGGGAUCGACAUGGAAUCCCGAGUUUGCAUCGUGGGCCCCAACGGGGUGGGGAAGAGCACCCUGCUGCAGCUGCUGACCGGGGCCCUGACGCCGCUCCGGGGGCAGAUGAGGCGGAACCAUCGCCUGGUAAAGGGGGCGGGGCCAGAGGGGGCGGGGCAUCAAGGGGGCGUGGUCAGGGAGCAUGGCCACUGUGUUAGAUUAAUAAAAGGGGUGGGGCCUAAAUGGGUG